GGGUUGUGAGGUUAAGCGACUAAGCGUACACGGUGGAUGCCCUGGCAGUCAGAGGCGAUGAAGGACGUGCUAAUCUGCGAUAAGCGUCGGUAAGGUGAUAUGAACCGUUAUAACCGGCGAUUUCCGAAUGGGGAAACCCAGUGUGAUUCGUCACACUAUCAUUAACUGAAUCCAUAGGUUAAUGAGGCGAACCGGGGGAACUGAAACAUCUAAGUACCCCGAGGAAAAGAAAUCAACCGAGAUUCCCCCAGUAGCGGCGAGCGAACGGGGAGGAGCCCAGAGCCUGAAUCAGUGUGUGUGUUAGUGGAAGCGUCUGGAAAGGCGCGCGAUACAGGGUGACAGCCCCGUACACAAAAAUGCACAUGCUGUGAGCUCGAUGAGUAGGGCGGGACACGUGGUAUCCUGUCUGAAUAUGGGGGGACCAUCCUCCAAGGCUAAAUACUCCUGACUGACCGAUAGUGAACCAGUACCGUGAGGGAAAGGCGAAAAGAACCCCGGCGAGGGGAGUGAAAAAGAACCUGAAACCGUGUACGUACAAGCAGUGGGAGCACAGAGCAAUCUGUGUGACUGCGUACCUUUUGUAUAAUGGGUCAGCGACUUAUAUUCUGUAGCAAGGUUAACCGAAUAGGGGAGCCGAAGGGAAACCGAGUCUUAACUGGGCGUUAAGUUGCAGGGUAUAGACCCGAAACCCGGUGAUCUAGCCAUGGGCAGGUUGAAGGUUGGGUAACACUAACUGGAGGACCGAACCGACUAAUGUUGAAAAAUUAGCGGAUGACUUGUGGCUGGGGGUGAAAGGCCAAUCAAACCGGGAGAUAGCUGGUUCUCCCCGAAAGCUAUUUAGGUAGCGCCUCGUGAAUUCAUCUCCGGGGGUAGAGCACUGUUUCGGCAAGGGGGUCAUCCCGACUUACCAACCCGAUGCAAACUGCGAAUACCGGAGAAUGUUAUCACGGGAGACACACGGCGGGUGCUAACGUCCGUCGUGAAGAGGGAAACAACCCAGACCGCCAGCUAAGGUCCCAAAGUCAUGGUUAAGUGGGAAACGAUGUGGGAAGGCCCAGACAGCCAGGAUGUUGGCUUAGAAGCAGCCAUCAUUUAAAGAAAGCGUAAUAGCUCACUGGUCGAGUCGGCCUGCGCGGAAGAUGUAACGGGGCUAAACCAUGCACCGAAGCUGCGGCAGCGACGCUUAUGCGUUGUUGGGUAGGGGAGCGUUCUGUAAGCCUGUGAAGGUGUACUGUGAGGUAUGCUGGAGGUAUCAGAAGUGCGAAUGCUGACAUAAGUAACGAUAAAGCGGGUGAAAAGCCCGCUCGCCGGAAGACCAAGGGUUCCUGUCCAACGUUAAUCGGGGCAGGGUGAGUCGACCCCUAAGGCGAGGCCGAAAGGCGUAGUCGAUGGGAAACAGGUUAAUAUUCCUGUACUUGGUGUUACUGCGAAGGGGGGACGGAGAAGGCUAUGUUGGCCGGGCGACGGUUGUCCCGGUUUAAGCGUGUAGGCUGGUUUUCCAGGCAAAUCCGGAAAAUCAAGGCUGAGGCGUGAUGACGAGGCACUACGGUGCUGAAGCAACAAAUGCCCUGCUUCCAGGAAAAGCCUCUAAGCAUCAGGUAACAUCAAAUCGUACCCCAAACCGACACAGGUGGUCAGGUAGAGAAUACCAAGGCGCUUGAGAGAACUCGGGUGAAGGAACUAGGCAAAAUGGUGCCGUAACUUCGGGAGAAGGCACGCUGAUAUGUAGGUGAAGUCCCUCGCGGAUGGAGCUGAAAUCAGUCGAAGAUACCAGCUGGCUGCAACUGUUUAUUAAAAACACAGCACUGUGCAAACACGAAAGUGGACGUAUACGGUGUGACGCCUGCCCGGUGCCGGAAGGUUAAUUGAUGGGGUCAGCGCAAGCGAAGCUCUUGAUCGAAGCCCCGGUAAACGGCGGCCGUAACUAUAACGGUCCUAAGGUAGCGAAAUUCCUUGUCGGGUAAGUUCCGACCUGCACGAAUGGCGUAAUGAUGGCCAGGCUGUCUCCACCCGAGACUCAGUGAAAUUGAACUCGCUGUGAAGAUGCAGUGUACCCGCGGCAAGACGGAAAGACCCCGUGAACCUUUACUAUAGCUUGACACUGAACAUUGAGCCUUGAUGUGUAGGAUAGGUGGGAGGCUUUGAAGUGUGGACGCCAGUCUGCAUGGAGCCGACCUUGAAAUACCACCCUUUAAUGUUUGAUGUUCUAACGUUGACCCGUGAUCCGGGUUGCGGACAGUGUCUGGUGGGUAGUUUGACUGGGGCGGUCUCCUCCUAAAGAGUAACGGAGGAGCACGAAGGUUGGCUAAUCCUGGUCGGACAUCAGGAGGUUAGUGCAAUGGCAUAAGCCAGCUUGACUGCGAGCGUGACGGCGCGAGCAGGUGCGAAAGCAGGUCAUAGUGAUCCGGUGGUUCUGAAUGGAAGGGCCAUCGCUCAACGGAUAAAAGGUACUCCGGGGAUAACAGGCUGAUACCGCCCAAGAGUUCAUAUCGACGGCGGUGUUUGGCACCUCGAUGUCGGCUCAUCACAUCCUGGGGCUGAAGUAGGUCCCAAGGGUAUGGCUGUUCGCCAUUUAAAGUGGUACGCGAGCUGGGUUUAGAACGUCGUGAGACAGUUCGGUCCCUAUCUGCCGUGGGCGCUGGAGAACUGAGGGGGGCUGCUCCUAGUACGAGAGGACCGGAGUGGACGCAUCACUGGUGUUCGGGUUGUCAUGCCAAUGGCACUGCCCGGUAGCUAAAUGCGGAAGAGAUAAGUGCUGAAAGCAUCUAAGCACGAAACUUGCCCCGAGAUGAGUUCUCCCUGACUCCUUGAGAGUCCUGAAGGAACGUUGAAGACGACGACGUUGAUAGGCCGGGUGUGUAAGCGCAGCGAUGCGUUGAGCUAACCGGUACUAAUGAACCGUGAGGCUUAACCUUACAACGCCGAAG
rnacentral:rRNA from 2 species